rnacentral:rRNA from 1 species
UACGUAGGGUGCAAGCGUUAAUCGGAAUUACUGGGCGUAAAGCGUGCGCAGGCGGUUUUGUAAGUCUGUCGGGAAAUCCCCGGGCUCAACCUGGGAAUGGCGAUGGAGACUGCAAGGCUGGAAUCUGGCAGAGGGGGGUAGAAUUCCACGUGUAGCAGUGAAAUGCGUAGAUAUGUGGAGGAACACCGAUGGCGAAGGCAGCCCCCUGGGUCAAGACUGACGCUCAUGCACGAAAGCGUGGGGAGCAAACAGG